ACGGAGGGUGCAAGCGUUAUCCGGAUUCACUGGGUUUAAAGGGUGCGUAGGUGGACAUUUAAGUCAGUGGUGAAAUCUUUGGGCUUAACCCGAAAACUGCCAUUGAUACUAUUUGUCUUGAAUUCUCUGGAGGUAAGCGGAAUAUGUCAUGUAGCGGUGAAAUGCUUAGAUAUGACAUAGAACACCCAUUGCGAAGGCAGCUUACUACGGAGACAUUGACACUGAGGCACGAAAGCGUGGGGAUCAAACAGGAUUAGAUACCCUGGUAGUCCACGCCCUAAACGAUGAUUACUCGACAUUAGCGAUAUUACUGUUAGUGUCUAAGCGAAAGCAUUAAGUAAUCCACCUGGGAAGUACGACCGCAAGGUUG
rnacentral:rRNA from 1 species